UGUGUGUGUGUGUGUGUGUAGACAGACUGUGCAGAGCACUCAAAAGAUCUGCUCACCCCAAGUACCAUCCCCGGCACCAGGUAGAAAGAUAAAAAAUGACAGGGGAAAGGAGCAAAGGCUGGGAGGGGAGGGGAGGUUAGGGGAGGGGAGGGGACAGCUUAGAAAAGGACACAGCACCAAGAAAGGCAGCGGCAGCCACAGUGUGAAUGCUUAGUGAGGACGCCAAGCAGCUCCCAGGAGUCAUAGCUCACAGGGUGCUCCCAGGGGGCUCCCAGGGUGCUCCCCAACCGAGGAACCAAACAACAGUGACAGUUUCUCCCACUUAUCUAGAGCAAGAAGUAAGAGCAUUCGCAGUGAGGACAAGCCAACACUGUCCACCCAAGGUCACAGGCCCCAUGACAGCUCUCCUCACGAGACAAGUAUUGCCUGUCUCCCCUCAGAUGGCUCUGCAGGACCUGUGGACUCUUGGAGCCACAACUGUGCCAUCAAGUGUGUGUCCUUAGUUCCUCAUGCAACCGACAAGGAGCUUCACCUCUCCGUCCUUAGCCUGCUCACCUACACUGCCCACUACCAAAGGGGCCAAGGGGUGUGACAACUAGCACCUAUGUAGCUCCCAGCACAGACCCAAACAAGGAAGGGACCCUUCUCCCUUGUCUAGUGUCAUCUGAACCUUCUCUGGCCUUCAGUGGAAGGGAUUCCAUUCAAAGCAGUGAGAGGUACAGGUGCUGGGGUCUCUGUCCCGUCCUCUGCCCUGCACCCUAGUCCUUUAAUGUCUGCCAGAUGAAUUCAGACAAGAACAGGGCAUCAUACAGGAGAAUGGCAGGUUUCUUAGAGAAACAGGGAGGCAUGCCGGAGAGUGAGGGUGGGCAUCAAAGGCCCACUGCAGACGGAAGGCCCUCAGGGUAGACGAUAGCCAGAGGGCCAGAGGCUGCGUGGUUAGGUGGGCUGGGUCCUGUGUUCCAAAGUGUCUGCACAGACAGCCUUCCUGAGAGGUGGCUUCCUGCUCAGGAGAUUGAUAGGCCACAUAGGCUGACACUUAAAGGAGGGGACGAUUGUGUGUCUUGUUCUUUCUCAGGAAGCUCCUGCCACAUCGCAUCUCACGUCCUUUUAGCGAUUGAGAAAGUCAUUUAAAGGAUCCAAAAGGA
rnacentral:sRNA from 1 species